UACGUAGGGUGCAAGCGUUAAUCGGAAUUACUGGGCGUAAAGCGUGCGCAGGCGGUUCGCUAAGACAGAUGUGAAAUCCCCGGGCUUAACCUGGGAACUGCAUUUGUGACUGGCGGGCUAGAGUAUGGCAGAGGGGGGUAGAAUUCCGACGUGUAGCAGUGAAAUGCGUAGAGAUGUGGAGGAAUACCGAUGGCGAAGGCAGCCCCCUGGGCCAAUACUGACGCUCAUGCACGAAAGCGUGGGGAGCAAACAGG
rnacentral:rRNA from 1 species